rnacentral:rRNA from 2 species
UUAAGCGACUAAGCGUACACGGUGGAUGCCCUGGCAGUCAGAGGCGAUGAAGGACGUGCUAAUCUGCGAAAAGCGUCGGUAAGGUGAUAUGAACCGUUAUAGCCGGCGAUGUCCGAAUGGGGAAACCCAGUGCAAUUCGUUGCACUAUCGUUAACUGAAUACAUAGGUUAACGAGGCGAACCGGGGGAACUGAAACAUCUAAGUACCCCGAGGAAAAGAAAUCAACCGAGAUUCCCCCAGUAGCGGCGAGCGAACGGGGAGCAGCCCGGAGUCUGAAUCAGCUUGUGUGUUAGUGGAAGCGUCUGGAAAGUCGCAGGGUACAGGGUGAUACUCCCGUACACUAAAACACACAGGUUGUGAACUCGAAGAGUAGGGCGGGACACGUGGUAUCCUGUCUGAAUAUGGGGGGACCAUCCUCCAAGGCUAAAUACUCCUGACUGACCGAUAGUGAACCAGUACCGUGAGGGAAAGGCGAAAAGAACCCCGGCGAGGGGAGUGAAAAAGAACCUGAAACCGUGUACGUACAAGCAGUAGGAGCCCACUAGUUGGGUGACUGCGUACCUUUUGUAUAAUGGGUCAGCGACUUAUAUUCUGUAGCAAGGUUAACCGUAUAGGGGAGCCGCAGGGAAACCGAGUCUUAACUGGGCGUUAAGUUGCAGGGUAUAGACCCGAAACCCGGUGAUCUAGCCAUGGGCAGGUUGAAGGUUGGGUAACACUAACUGGAGGACCGAACCGACUAAUGUUGAAAAAUUAGCGGAUGACUUGUGGCUGGGGGUGAAAGGCCAAUCAAACCGGGAGAUAGCUGGUUCUCCCCGAAAGCUAUUUAGGUAGCGCCUCGUGAAUUCAUCUUCGGGGGUAGAGCACUGUUUCGGCUAGGGGGUCAUCCCGACUUACCAACCCGAUGCAAACUACGAAUACCGAAGAAUGUUAUCACGGGAGACACACGGCGGGUGCUAACGUCCGUCGUGAAGAGGGAAACAACCCAGACCGCCAGCUAAGGUCCCAAAGUCAUGGUUAAGUGGGAAACGAUGUGGGAAGGCCCAGACAGCCAGGAUGUUGGCUUAGAAGCAGCCAUCAUUUAAAGAAAGCGUAAUAGCUCACUGGUCGAGUCGGCCUGCGCGGAAGAUGUAACGGGGCUAAACCAUGCACCGAAGCUGCGGCAGCGACACUAUGUGUUGUUGGGUAGGGGAGCGUUCUGUAAGCCGUUGAAGGUGGCCUGUGAGGGUUGCUGGAGGUAUCAGAAGUGCGAAUGCUGACAUAAGUAACGAUAAUGCGGGUGAAAAACCCGCACGCCGGAAGACCAAGGGUUCCUGUCCAACGUUAAUCGGGGCAGGGUGAGUCGACCCCUAAGGCGAGGCCGAAAGGCGUAGUCGAUGGGAAACAGGUUAAUAUUCCUGUACUCGGUGUUACUGCGAAGGGGGGACGGAGAAGGCUAUGUUGGCCGGGCGACGGUUGUCCCGGUUUAAGCAUGUAGGCGGAUGUUCCAGGUAAAUCCGGAACGUUAUUAACGCUGAGGUGUGAUGACGAGGCACUACGGUGCUGAAGUGACAAAUGCCCUGCUUCCAGGAAAAGCCUCUAAGCAUCAGGUAACAUCAAAUCGUACCCCAAACCGACACAGGUGGUCAGGUAGAGAAUACCAAGGCGCUUGAGAGAACUCGGGUGAAGGAACUAGGCAAAAUGGUGCCGUAACUUCGGGAGAAGGCACGCUGAUGGUAGGUGAAGCGACUUGCUCGUGGAGCUGAAAUCAGUCGAAGAUACCAGCUGGCUGCAACUGUUUAUUAAAAACACAGCACUGUGCAAACACGAAAGUGGACGUAUACGGUGUGACGCCUGCCCGGUGCCGGAAGGUUAAUUGAUGGGGUUAUCCGUAAGGAGAAGCUCUUGAUCGAAGCCCCGGUAAACGGCGGCCGUAACUAUAACGGUCCUAAGGUAGCGAAAUUCCUUGUCGGGUAAGUUCCGACCUGCACGAAUGGCGUAAUGAUGGCCAGGCUGUCUCCACCCGAGACUCAGUGAAAUUGAACUCGCUGUGAAGAUGCAGUGUACCCGCGGCAAGACGGAAAGACCCCGUGAACCUUUACUAUAGCUUGACACUGAACACUGGUCCUUGAUGUGUAGGAUAGGUGGGAGGCUUUGAAGUGUGGACGCCAGUCUGCAUGGAGCCAUCCUUGAAAUACCACCCUUUAAUGGCUGGUGUUCUAACGUGGGCCCCUAAUCGGGGUUGCGGACAGUGUCUGGUGGGUAGUUUGACUGGGGCGGUCUCCUCCUAAAGAGUAACGGAGGAGCACGAAGGUCAGCUAAUCCUGGUCGGACAUCAGGAGGUUAGUGCAAUGGCAUAAGCUGGCUUGACUGCGAGCGUGACGGCGCGAGCAGGUGCGAAAGCAGGUCAUAGUGAUCCGGUGGUUCUGAAUGGAAGGGCCAUCGCUCAACGGAUAAAAGGUACUCCGGGGAUAACAGGCUGAUACCGCCCAAGAGUUCAUAUCGACGGCGGUGUUUGGCACCUCGAUGUCGGCUCAUCACAUCCUGGGGCUGAAGUAGGUCCCAAGGGUAUGGCUGUUCGCCAUUUAAAGUGGUACGCGAGCUGGGUUUAGAACGUCGUGAGACAGUUCGGUCCCUAUCUGCCGUGGGCGCUGGAGAAUUGAGGGGGGCUGCUCCUAGUACGAGAGGACCGGAGUGGACGCAUCACUGGUGUUCGGGUUGUCAUGCCAAUGGCAUUGCCCGGUAGCUAAAUGCGGAAGAGAUAAGUGCUGAAAGCAUCUAAGCACGAAACUUGCCCCGAGAUGAGUUCUCCCUGACCCUUUAAGGGUCCUGAAGGAACGUUGAAGACGACGACGUUGAUAGGCCGGGUGUGUAAGCGCAGCGAUGCGUUGAGCUAACCGGUACUAAUGAACCGUGAGGCUUAACCUU